rnacentral:rRNA from 1 species
GACGAACGCUGGCGUCGUGCUUAACACAUGCAAGUCGAACGGAAAGGCCCUGCUUGCAGGGUGCUCGAGUGGCGAACGGGUGAGUAACACGUGGGUGAUCUGCCCCUUACUUUGGGAUAAGCCUGGGAAACUGGGUCUAAUACUGGAUAGGACCAUGCUGUAGGUGGUGUGGUGGAAAGAUUAGUUUCGGUAAGGGAUGAGCUCGCGGCCUAUCAGCUUGUUGGUGGGGUAAUGGCCUACCAAGGCGUCGACGGGUAGCCGGCCUGAGAGGGUGGACGGCCACAUUGGGACUGAGAUACGGCCCAGACUCCUACGGGAGGCAGCAGUGGGGAAUAUUGCACAAUGGGCGCAAGCCUGAUGCAGCGACGCCGCGUGGGGGAUGACGGCCUUCGGGUUGUAAACUCCUUUCAGCCAUGACGAAGCCCUUGUGGUGACGGUAGUGGUAGAAGAAGCACCGGCUAACUACGUG